rnacentral:rRNA from 1 species
AUGGAACUGAUAAACCAAAGUUUCAACAAAUUUGAUGCGGAAGAGAUUGAGAAAAUAAGAAUCCCAGCUCGUGAGGUGGAGGAUGUGAUAGCCUGGCACUAUGAGAAUACUGGUAUAUUUACGGUCAAAAGUGCAUAUAAACGGGCAUACAGAAUCAGACGGAACUCCAAUGCUGGAGCUUCCUCUUUGGCAAAUGAGGUAGGAGACAGAUGCAUAUGGGACACCAUAUGGAAGGCAAAAGUCCCUCAAAAGAUUAAGGUGUUCGGAUGGCGCGCAGCCACACAGUCACUGGCCACUAAGCAUAAUGCUUUUAGGCAUACAAUUGCCAUCGAUAAUACCUGUGAUCUCUGCGGGAAUGGAAUAGAGGAUGAGUAUCACGCUCUCAUCGCUUGCACAAGAAGCAGGGCCCUGAGGCAUGAACUAAGGUCAGCCUGGGAUUUACCAAAAGAAGAAGCUUUUAGGGAUACUGGAGAUCUCUGGUUUCAAAUGCUGUUGGGCAUGCAAAGCGAGGCAACCAAACGGAGGAUCCUAGUGAUGUGUUGGCAGACAUGGAAUUUGCGUAACGAUGUGAUUCAUGAUUUUGGGAAGGAGACUGUGACGUGA